rnacentral:rRNA from 3 species
AAAUUGAAGAGUUUGAUCAUGGCUCAGAUUGAACGCUGGCGGCAGGCCUAACACAUGCAAGUCGAACGGUAACAGGAAGCAGCUUGCUGCUUCGCUGACGAGUGGCGGACGGGUGAGUAAUGUCUGGGAAACUGCCUGAUGGAGGGGGAUAACUACUGGAAACGGUGGCUAAUACCGCAUAACGUCGCAAGACCAAAGAGGGGGACCUUCGGGCCUCUUGCCAUCAGAUGUGCCCAGAUGGGAUUAGCUUGUUGGUGAGGUAACGGCUCACCAAGGCGACGAUCCCUAGCUGGUCUGAGAGGAUGACCAGCCACACUGGAACUGAGACACGGUCCAGACUCCUACGGGAGGCAGCAGUGGGGAAUAUUGCACAAUGGGCGCAAGCCUGAUGCAGCCAUGCCGCGUGUAUGAAGAAGGCCUUCGGGUUGUAAAGUACUUUCAGCG